rnacentral:rRNA from 1 species
GGGUUGUGAGGUUAAGCGACCAAGCGUACACGGUGGAUGCCCUGGCAGUCAGAGGCGAUGAAGGACGUGCUAAUCUGCGAAAAGCGCCCGUAAGGUGAUAUGAACCGUUAUAACCGGCGAUGUCCGAAUGGGGAAACCCAGUGUGACUCGUCACACUAUCAUUAACUGAAUCCAUAGGUUAAUGAGGCGAACCGGGGGAACUGAAACAUCUAAGUACCCCGAGGAAAAGAAAUCAACCGAGAUUCCCCCAGUAGCGGCGAGCGAACGGGGAGGAGCCCAGAGCCUGAAUCAGCAUGUGUGUUAGUGGAAGCGUCUGGAAAGGCGCGCGAUACAGGGUGACAGCCCCGUACACAAAAGCGCAUGUGCUGUGAGCUCGAUGAGUAGGGCGGGACACGUGGUAUCCUGUCUGAAUAUGGGGGGACCAUCCUCCAAGGCUAAAUACUCCUGACUGACCGAUAGUGAACCAGUACCGUGAGGGAAAGGCGAAAAGAACCCCGGCGAGGGGAGUGAAACAGAACCUGAAACCGUGUACGUACAAGCAGUGGGAGC